rnacentral:rRNA from 1 species
UCGGGAAUUUUGGGCAAUGGGCGAAAGCCUGACCCAGCAACGCCGCGUGAAGGAUGAAAUCUUUCGGGAUGUAAACUUCGGAAGAAUAGGAAGAAUAAAAUGGCGGUACUAUUUUAAGGUCCGGCUAACUACGUGCCAGCAGCCGCGGUAAUACGUAGGGACCAAGCGUUGUUCGGAUUUACUGGGCGUAAAGGGCGCGUAGGCGGCGUAAUAAGUCACUUGUGAAAUCUCCGGGCUUAACUCGGAGCGGCCAAGUGAUACUGUUAGGCUAGAGUGCAGAAAGGGCAAUCGGAAUUCUUGGUGUAGCGGUGAAAUGCGUAGAUAUCAAGAGGAACACCUGAGGUGAAGACGGGUUGCUGGGCUGACACUGACGCUGAGGCGCGAAAGCCAGGGGAGCAAACGGGAUUAGAUACCCCCGUAGUCCCUGAGCGGGCUGGCAAGGCGCAU